rnacentral:misc_RNA from 1 species
AAAUGCGAUAAGUAGUGUGAAUUGCAGAAUUCAGUGAAUCAUCGAAUCUUUGAACGCACAUUGCGCCCCUUGGUAUUCCAUGGGGCAUGCCUGUUCGAGCGUCAUUUGUACCCUCAAGCUCUGCUUGGUGUUGGGUGUUUGUCCCGUCUCCGCGCGUGGACUCGCCCCAAAGUGAUUGGCAGCCGGCGUACUGGUCCCGGAGCGCAGCACAUGUCGCGCAAACGAGUGCCUUGGUACGGUGGCGUCCAUAAGCCCCUCUCUCACGCUCUUGACCUCGGAUCAGGUAGGGAUACCCGCUGAACUUAAGC